AAGUCGUAACAAGGUUUCCGUAGGUGAACCUGCGGAAGGAUCAUUAACGAGUUUACUGAGUUGUCGCUGCCCUCUCGGGGGAUGUGCACGCUCUUUCACUCAUCUAUACACCUGUGCACCUAUGCGAGUCCAUGGGGGAUUAGCGAAAGAGACCUGCAAAGGUUUCGACUAGCGUUCUCUGUCGGCUCGAUUUUUUAUAAACUCUUGUAUGUCUUAGAAUGUCUACUUUGCUUAACGCAAUAAAUACAACUUUCAACAACGGAUCUCUUGGCUCUC
rnacentral:misc_RNA from 1 species